AUUUAGUUUAUUUAGUUGAGUAAGACUACUUCUAUAUUACUACUAUAUAAAAGAGUGAAAGGUGGGACGACCAAGGGUAUUUUAAUAAUUUUCUUCUAUAUACAAUUUCUAGAAGAUAAGGAAUGACCAAGGGUAAAAGUGUCAUUUCACUCGGGUAAGAAAAUAUCAUAGACUUCUCCACACAAACAACAUGUAUCUAGAAACAUUUAUACGUCUCUUUCACUUUUUUUUUACGCUUUCAAGAAUGGUUUCUUAGUUUUCAUGUCUCAAGAACAUUUUUAUCCUCUUUAUCUUCACUGUGGACACGUUUCAGUCUGCAGGUCAAAUCUUUGUUUGAAUCUUCACCUACACUUAUGGAUUUUUCAAUGUCCGAGUAAAAUGCUAAUCAAUUUCUUUUUUCUCCUCCCAAUUUUUAUAUAAUCUUCGUUAAAUUACUUAAAUUUUUUUGUUUAAUAUUCCUAAAAAAUAUGUAUUUCAUGAAUCUCAAUAACUAAGGAAAUAAAGUGGUAGAUUUCUCUAUGAAAAAAGAAAAAAAUAGUAACAUUAGUGUUUAAUCUAUGUAAAUAUUAGUCUUAUUUUAUGUUGAAAUGUCUGAAUUUGAAAAGUUCUGAAUUAUUUUGUCUGUCAUAACAUAGAAUUCUUUCAAUUUGAGGAGUUGUAACAAAGUGAAAUCAUCUCGUGUAGGCUGAUUUUCUGCAUAUUAGUGUAUUAUUUAAAUUUGAGACCAAAAAUAAUAAUUACGAAGCUAAUAUAAUACUAUAAAAGACUAUAAAAGAUGUGAGUAUGUUUUCACAGCUAAAUUUACGUUGAUGUUCUUCACAAUAGUGUCUUAUAAACAAGGUGAAACACAAAGAAACUCUUCAAUGCACUGUGAACCUAUUGAAAUUGCACGAAUUUGUUUUCUUCCUCGACUCAAGUUAUUACACAUUGUUUCAUUUUUACUCUUCCGUUGAUCUUGAUGUGUUAUAUAUACACUAUUCUAUUCUGAAACCUCAAAAUUUGAUGAGAUUAUUGCUUUAUUCAAGCACCAUGAUUGAGAUAUAAGUUUUUUCAUAACUGUUGCAAUGACUCUUCAAUAGAAGGUAAAUAGCUAUAUUAAGAGAUAAGAUGUUGGUAUCUCUUUUCUCACAUUGUCAUAUAUGUCUAAGUUUUAUGGUAAUGCUUCUCUAGAACCAAAUGUUCCAACAUAUAUAAGUUACAUAGAUAGCCACAUGUAAGAGUAGUGCUUAUUGCUCUCAAUCCCUCCAAUCUUCUAGGUUCGAUUGCAUUCACUCUUGUUCCAAUAGGAAAUUAUUACUUUUGUUGA